UAGAGCAAAUAUGACAAUCUCUUUUAAGAUUCUUCAGAUAAAAGGGAAAGCUACAAUAGAAAACUGUAUCAACUAAUAUAUCCAUAGACAGACUUUUAAUGAAGAUAAUAAAGGGGAAGAAAUCUGGGGUUAAAUGUUUAGGAAUCAGUAAGGAAGAUAAACUUCAACCCUGCAACUUCUCUAGAAGUCAAAGCUGGAUGGAGAGCAUUUUAAGGAGAAAACUCAAUUUUAUCCUUUCAGUUAAAACUCUUUAAAUGGUUACCUAAACGGAAUGGGAUGUUUUAGCCACCACCCUGAACAGGCCACAAUUUAUCUCAAGGCUUGCCCUUUAAAAGCAAAUCACAGGCGCUCAUCACCAUCAGACAAGAUGUCCAGCUUCAACUGUUCUACUUGAUGCAAACAACAGUUCAGAUGUUCUCGCCAAAUGAACUCUGCAUCAGAUGACACCCUCUCUGGACAGAAGUUCAGCAUUAUGAGAUGAUCCAUGCUGUGAAUGCCAGCCUCGUUUUCAAAAUGCAUUCUGUAGCUUUGACGACAUAAAAGAAGCCCACUUGUGGUCACAAAAACAAGUUUAUUAUUACGAAGCCUCAUCGAGUUGCUGCAACAGAAUAGCUAAGUGUUCAUUUAAGCAACAAUAGACUCUAUAAUCAACAUCAGAUACAACACUAUUUCCUGACAUUACUAGACAGUCACCUAGUAGCCACAAUCAUUGUGACUAUCCCAUAGCUUUAGAGGACAGAAUUUAAGGAGCAGCCUGUCAGGUGUCAUUAGAUCGAAGUAUCUUGUGAAAGCCUGCUUAUUGGUUCCCAGAUGGCUGUCUUCUCAGAUCCUCACAGGGCAUAGGAAGCAAGCCCUCUCCUAAUGUGUGGGCGCUCUGAUUACAUCAUAACAUCCUCAUGAUCAUGACCUCAUCUACACCUGAUUCCUUCUCAAGGCCCCAAAUCAUUAUCCCAUGUAGCAUCUCUUUUUUAAACAAGAAACCCAUUAAGUCGCAAAUUAAGUAAAAACGAGGCCUUUAUUCAUGCAAUUUUCUUAUCUUGUCGAUCUAAUUUUUCAUCCAUAAGGAUUUGGCCUAAUUGGAUUAUACAGUUCAUGCAUAGUUUCCUUCCCUGAAGCCAAGGCUACUAUUUAAAUCUUAUUGCAUUACCUAGAAACAAUCUCCCACAAGUAUAAAUGCUAUAUUAUAUGAUAUAUGUGAUUUAAGUCAAUAAUCAUCAAGUAGUGUCAUUUUCCUUAAGAUCAUAUCCCAUGGGUAUAAGUAAUAUAGAUAGGAGAUAGCCUCACUAUCAUAUUCCAUAGACAAUUAUGGAAUUUAUCAUUCUUAUUUUUGAUAAUCUUAUUCAUCUUUAAAAUGGACAGUAACAAUAUUUAGCCCAAUACCCUCUCCUAUUUUUCUUCCACUACUACUGAGCUCUUUUCUUCUUCAAGACUAGUAUCCAUUCUACUUUCAUGUGUUUUUGUUGCUAACUAAUUUUUAGAGAACAUUUUAAUACAUGAUCAUAUCCCUUUAAAAAAGGGAAAGUUUUUAAACAAUUGUACUUAUUUCUACUGACAUUUAAAAGUUCUCUGAUUAUUUUAGCUUCUCAUAUAGCUAACAUACACAGAGAAAAUACCUAAGUUAAAGGGCUAGAUUUUUUUAUAAAGAAAAAUAGUAGAUUUUAGCAGGUAGGAAAAAGGAAGAAUCUAAUUGGAAUCCAGUUAAGUUAUUGAUGUAACUUAAUGCUCUCUUACCAGGUAUCUUGGUCAAAGAAAAAAAAUUAAAAACACAACAAUGGAUAUAUGAGUCACCAAUAGGAAGAAAUUCAGUCCCUGACAAUGACAAAAAUGAAGGGGAAAUGACUAAGUGCCACAAUGGAAAGCUGUAAUAAUCAGAAGAACAGAAACAAAAAAAUGGAACAGAGACUGAAAGAAGUGCCAUCUUGGAUCUUCCCUACCUGAGGAUCCAUCCUGUUUGCAGACACCAAACCUGACACUGUUGCUGUUGCCAAGAGGCACUUGCUGACAGGAACCUGGUAUGGCUGUUCCUUGGGAAGUUCAGCCAGCAACUGACCAAUGCAGAUAUGGAUGCUUGGAGCAAACCAUCAGACUGAGCUCAGGGACCCUGGUUGGGGAGCUGGAGGAAGGACUGGAGGAGCAGAGGUGGAUUGCAACCCCAUAGGAAGAGGCCACCAACCAAGGAGCGUACAAGGAGGAAUCCAUGGCUCCAGAUACAUGGCUGUUGGUCCUGUGGAGGUUUGAUGUCCCAGCGUAAGGAGAUGCUGGAGCAGUGGAGCUGGAGAGGGUGGGUGGGUGGGGAACACCCUCAAAGAGGAAAAGGGAAGGGAGGAGAGGGCAGAGAGGGCAGAUGUGGGAGGGGAGCUUUGUGGAGGGGUAACCGGGAGUGAGAUAUCAUUUGAGAUGUAAACAAAUGGAAUAAUAAACAUUUUUUCAUCUUUAUUAA